AUAGUACUUUAUUUAGUUAAAAGAAUACAACCUAAUACAUGGCAUCUCCUCCGUCGUCUUUGAAUCACUAUUAUGUAUCAUGCACAAUUUUUUUCUUUGGUUCUUUCUAAUGCCUUUAUCCCUCCACUCCUACAGCGCUUUCCCCUAGUCCUUCACAUUUUUUUUUUUUCUGCUAUUCUUUAGCAAAAUAUUGGCUGUCGCUUUUUCAUUUUAUAUAUUUGGAUAUUGAGAAUUUAGUAAUGCUUUUAUAAAAAGAUGGACGUUGAACUGUCAUUUCUGCUGCUUCUUUUUCACUUAUUGUUUUACGUCCCACUGGCUUAGGCAAUCAUGGGAAAGAAUGGUUUUGGGAAGGCCAUCUUGCGGAUGAUUAGUAUUCUUUCAUUUUGACAUUGAUCACUUAUUGGUGGCUGGUUCUUUGUAAGAUUUUCUUGCAGUCUAAUACAUUUGAUUGUUAUUUUCAGGUUUUGUAGUUUGAGAAGAUUUCUCACAGGUGACAUGCUUGUGGAGCUUAAGGAGAUUGUGGGAAAUAGGGGAGGAAAGUAGAAGACAAUUUGGAGGUUUCCCCUAAUCAGGAGGUCUUUGGUGAGGGGUACCUUGGUGGAAUUAUGAACAAGAGUUUGAGAUAAGGACUGUAUAAUUCUGCUCAACUUGCAUCUGGUUUAAAGGCUUGCAUGUGCUAUUGUCUGAUGCAUCCUUAAGACGAGAAACAUCAAUGUGAGUCCUUAGAAAUUUGUAUCUUUUUGUGUUAGUUAAAUAUCACAUCUCAUAAGAUUCAGCUAUUUAUCUUUGACAGAAAACAAUUAUGUCUUUUUGUGUUAAGACUUAUAAUUAGUCUUGGGUAGUAGAUGCUGAAUAAAAAAAACACUCCUGAGCUUACCAAACAAAAUGGUCUGCUUCUCUUUGUUAUGACAAGUUUGGAUGAGAUGUCUGAUCUGGGCAGUUGAUAAUUGAGAUUCUGACAUGCUAUAUACUGAUGAUAGUUGGAUAUAUAUCUAUAUCUAUGAUAGCCUUGUAUGUGAUGCUAGAAAUAUAACUAUAGUAACCUUGUAUGUGAUGCUACGCUGCCUGUCUCUUGCUUUCCACUUAUAUCUAUAUAGUGCCCUUGAAUGUGAUCUACACUGCCCCUCUCUCUCUAUGUAUAUCCAUAUUGGGUUUGGAAACAGGAGUCGGUCAUGCGCAUCUUAAAGGUUUAGCCGGAAAAUUCUAUUUUUGCACUAGACAAUUGUGGCUACAGUUCGGCAAGCAAAUUUUCACCAGAAAUUGAUCUACACAAUGACGUGCAUGUCACGUCUUUUAUCAACUCACCCACAGUCUCCUUUCCUCUCCCUCCACCACAUUGACACCAUAAACCCAAUCUUCCCCACCAUGAACUGUUCAGAAUCAAUAAACCACUUCAUGAAGGCUGCAAAAGUGGACCAAUCACGUCUUCUUCAACAAACCAUUUGCUACCACAGGCCAAGCAAUUGGUCUUUCUCCAUGUCAUGGGGUUACUCGGCUUAUAUAUAUCAAAACAUACUCCCUCGGAGCAGUUUGUGGAGACCACUCGAGACAUUUAGGCCACGUUAGGCCACCAUUAUACAUGUUCAACACCAUGUGGCCCUCCAACAAUCCCUGUGAAGCUCCUCAUGCUUUUUUUCUUGAUUCUAUUGAAUAUUAUACUCAACAGAACCAGAUUGUUACAACCUAUAUAAGAAGAUCAGUGCAUGGUUUGCCGGCUUGUUCAUUCACUGGUAAUCAUUCUGCAGAUGCCAUCACCAAAAUUCAGUUCACUUCAAUAACUUAGGAAAUCUUGUCUUCUACUUUGAUAAGAUCGGAGGAAGAGACUGCUGUGACAUUCUAUACACGACUAGCAAAAAUGUUACAGAAGUGAAAUAUAGGCCUUGUGGGAAGGAUGAAGUAAUUGCCUGACUUCAACAUCAAAUUACAGAACGUCUUGUAUUUUUUAUUUUUUUUAGUUUUUUUCAUUCAUUCAUUUUCUUUCUUUUUUGAGCUCCUUAACAAUUGAUUGUAUUAUUAAUAAUAUAUAAGGGUGUAUGUGGUUUUGUGA